UUUUGUUCCUGCCCGAGCUGUACUCCACGUUCCUGAACUGGAAUUUGAAGAAGAUGGCCGGGAGGCGUUCCCUGGGAGAGGAGAGGAGAGCAGAGAGGAGGCUCAGAGGUUUAGGUUAUAAAAUAUCCAGGAUCAAAUCCAACCUUGCUGUGAAAAUGUGGAUUUCCUGCUGGAGUCCCUGCUGAUAAACUUCACCUACUCUUUUAAUUUAUUGUCCACAUCUUCCCUUCUGUGACUCCAAGAUCACCUCGUGGUGGAACAUCUCACGGGAUGGCUCUGGAGGUGGGAAGGGAAAGGGAUGGAAAAGAGUGGGAGAAAACGCACAUGUUUCCAAGAAUAGCACAUUUCCCGCUUGGUCUCCUGGAUAAUGAGUGCUUUUUGGCCGAGGAUUCUGUAAUUAAUGAUUUUUUGAAGGGCAGGCAUGAGACACCCAUUCCAGAGCCAUGUCUGCAACGAGUGGUUUCACAGUAACAUCAGCUUUUUAAAUACAUCAGAGGCACAGGGAAUUUCAUCCCUGAUUUAACUCUCUGACAGCAAAGGGGUCACAGCAGUGACGAGGUUGGCUCUGGGUUUUCAUGGAACAGCUGAAGCAGCAGCAGCAGCCUGCUCCGGGAUGGAUUGACUCAGGGAUUGACAGGGAGCUGCAUUUAGCCAGCCCUUCCUGAUGGAUUUUCUUGCUUAUCUCGGCGUGUGCCUGGGCUUAGCUGGGAUGUUCACCUCCAUUCUGCUCCCAGCACUUUGGAAUCUGCAUUAGCUCAAUUAAUAACCUUCCAAGAAGGAAUAGAAACAACAAUUAGAGCCCAUUCCAACCCUUGCCACGAAGAAAUUCCCCCUGAUGUCCUCCCCUGGCACAAUUUGAGGCCAUCUCCCCUCAUCCUGUUGUCUGGGAGAAGAGGCUGACCCCCAGCUGGCUCCAGCCUCCUGGCAGGGGGUUGUGGAGAAUGAAAAUAUUUAUGGAAAUAAUUUAAAAACUCUUCACAGCACUGAAUCCCCCAAGGUUCUCAAUAUAAACCCCUGCUCUGACACCUGGCUGGGGUGGCACAGCUCAGCUGAGGAUAGGAAUGGUCAAAACUGAAACCUCCCCUGAAAAGCAUCAUUAAAUGCCAUUUUUUAGGGAUUUCUACAUGCUCCAACCUAAUUUAUCAGUUUUCCCAGGGUAGCAAAGUGAUAGAUCAUAUUGAGACAAAAAAAAAAAUUGAAUUUUGAGGCAGAAUCUUCAAUCUGGGAUUGAAGCUGCUGAAAUCAAGUGGGCUGGAGGAAAGAGCAGCUACCCAGUGUGACCCUGGCACCGUCACACAGGAGAGAAGGAAAACAUCUAAUGAGGAAAUAAAAAUGUGGAUUAUCUAAAAGAGUAACAGGGAAUUAUCCCAACGAGAAGCCUCAUUUACACCUGGGGAAAGUGGAAAUAAAUGUGGCAGGAAAUGCUCCCAGAUUGGGAUUACAGGCUGUGUUAACCCAAAAAAAAAAAAAAAAA